rnacentral:rRNA from 1 species
UACGUAGGGUGCAAGCGUUGUCCGGAAUUAUUGGGCGUAAAGAGCUCGUAGGCGGUCUGUCGCGUCGGCUGUGAAAACUCGGGGCUCAACCCCGAGCCUGCAGUCGAUACGGGCAGACUAGAGUGCUGUAGGGGAGACUGGAAUUCCUGGUGUAGCGGUGAAAUGCGCAGAUAUCAGGAGGAACACCGGUGGCGAAGGCGGCUCUCUGGGACGGUACUGACGCUGAGACGCGAAAGCGUGGGGAGCGAACAG